CAACUUUCAACAACGGAUCUCUUGGCUCUGGCAUCGAUGAAGAACGCAGCGAAAUGCGAUAAGUAGUGUGAAUUGCAGAAUUCAGUGAAUCAUCGAAUCUUUGAACGCACAUUGCGCCCCUUGGUAUUCCAUGGAGCAUGCUUGUUCGAGCGUCAUUU
rnacentral:rRNA from 1 species